AAGACUGUUCAAAACCAUGUAGUCUUGGUUGCUUAGACAACACUUGCUUUUCUACUGAUGGAAGUUGUGAUUGCACGGAGUAUUACACAGGAGCUAAAUGUGACGUGUGUGUAGACGGGCGGUACGGUGACGGUUGUAUGAAUACAUCUGAGCAGAAUCAUCUGGACGAAUUAGACACCUUUCAAACUGGUGCACUUACCGGAGGAAUUGUUGGUGGUGUAGUAGUGCUAAUGGGUGCUGUCGCUUUAAUUGUUUGGGUUAAACGAAGAUAUGCUCGAGUCCAACUUUCUUUCUUUUUUGUUGUUGAAAUUAUGGU